rnacentral:misc_RNA from 1 species
GUGAAUCAUCAAAUCUUUGAACGCAAAUUGCACUCUCUGGUAUUCCGGAGAGUAUGCCUGUUUGAGGGUCAGUUUAAAUAAAAAUCGGUGUGUUUGCCGCCUUUCGUGGUGACGCACCGGAUUUGGUUCUUCUUGCCUUCGGUUCAGUGACCUAAAAUUUUGCAUGAUCUUUUUCGAACGUAUUUAACUGAUUGUACUUACGUUUGCGAUAUCGAAUACUAGGUGUGGUCACCCUCAUGAAU